rnacentral:misc_RNA from 1 species
GCUUGCCUUUGGCAAUGCGGGGGGUGGGAUGUUUGGUAGUGUCAAGUCUUGCGGACGGGAGGGCGUGUGAGAUGCGAUCGGGAUGUUUGUGCUGUCUGGCUCCAUGCUCAUGGUCAUCGAACUGCUAGCAAGCAACCCUUAUCAGUCUUGCCUUGUGCCAUUGGGCCUCGGCAUUCACUUGUGGUUCUUGUGUUGCCUACCCGUUUAGCGGUAUUCAUGUGCCUCUUAUGACCUGUUCCAUCCAGACCCCCUCUUGGAGGUUGUUGGGGAAUUCGAAAGUGAUGCGUGUUAUGCGUUAGUUGUGUGUUGUCAUGGCUCACGUUCUCACAUGUGUCUAUUGUUCCCUUGGAUGCGGUGCAUGCGGUGAAACGUGGUGUGCUGAUUGUGCCCCGUUUUGUCCCUUUGAUAUAUCGGUUGCCUUAGAAAGACACUUUGCUGCAGUGCCAGUCUUGCUAUCCCACUGGUGGUGGCAACACUUGCACAUUGUGCAGAGUCGUCAAUGGAUGCUACCUGGUUGAUC